CUAUUUGCCUUCGGGCACCAAACAAACAUAAUGUAAUGAAUGUAAUCUACUAUAAUAAAUACAACUUUCAACAACGGAUCUCUUGGCUCUCACAUCGAUGAAGAACGCAGCGAAAUGCGAUAAGUAAUGUGAAUUGCAGAAUUCAGUGAAUCAUCGAAUCUUUGAACGCAAAUUGCGCCCUUUGGUAUUCCGAAGGGCAUGCCUGUUUGAGUGUCUUAUAAACCUCACCCCUAAUGUUUUAAUACAAUAGGUUGGUGCUUUGGGUGUUGCCAUUUACCUGGCUCGCCUUAAAUGACUAAGUGGAAUGCGUAAUAAGUUCUCGCAACCCUCCACUCUAAUACAAUUUAUAUUCUGACCUCAAAUCAGGUAGGACUACCCGCUGAACUUAAGCAUAUCAAUAAGCGGAGGAAAAGAAACUAACAAGGAUUCCCUUAGUAGCGGCGAGCGAAGCGGGAAGAGCUCAAAUUUGUAAUCUGGCGUCUUUCAGGCGUCCGAGUUGUAAUCUAUAGAAGUG
rnacentral:rRNA from 1 species